rnacentral:rRNA from 1 species
UGCCAGCCGCCGCGGUAAUACGGAGGGGGUUAGCGUUGUUCGGAAUUACUGGGCGUAAAGCGCACGUAGGCGGAUUAGUAAGUUAGGGGUGAAAUCCCGGGGCUCAACCCCGGAACUGCCUCUAAUACUGCUAGUCUUGAGUUCGAGAGAGGUGAGUGGAAUUCCGAGUGUAGAGGUGAAAUUCGUAGAUAUUCGGAGGAACACCAGUGGCGAAGGCGGCUCACUGGCUCGAUACUGACGCUGAGGUGCGAAAGCGUGGGGAGCAAACAGGAUUAGAUA